rnacentral:misc_RNA from 1 species
GGAAGUAAAAGUGUAACAAGGUUUCCGUAGGUGAACCUGCGGAAGGAUCAUUCACAAUAAGUGUUUUAUGGCACUUUUUCAAUCCAUAUCCACCUUGUGUGCAAUGUUGUCUUGUAGUGCGAAUGCUUGUCAUUUGCGCUACAGGAUGUGAACAUCAACUCUUAUCUUUAACAACUUUGUCUAAAACCUGUAUGAAUACUUAAUUCAAAUACAACUUUCAACAACGGAUCUCUUGGCUCUC